rnacentral:rRNA from 1 species
AUGACGCUGGCGGCAGGCCUAACACAUGCAAGUCGGGCGGUAACAGGGAUAGCUUGCUAUCUGCUGACGAGCGGCGGACGGGUGAGUAAUGCAUAGGAAUCUGCCUGGUAGUGGGGGAUAGCCCAGAGAAAUUUGGAUUAAUACCGCAUACGCCCUACGGGGGAAAGCUGGGGACCUUCGGGCCUAGCGCUAUCAGAUGAGCCUAUGUCGGAUUAGCUUGUUGGUGAGGUAACGGCUCACCAAGGCGACGAUCCGUAGCUGGUCUGAGAGGAUGAUCAGCCACACUGGGACUGAGACACGGCCCAGACUCCUACGGGAGGCAGCAGUGGGGAAUAUUGGACAAUGGGCGCAAGCCUGAUCCAGCCAUGCCGCGUGUGUGAAGAAGGCCUUCGGGUUGUAAAGCACUUUCAGCGAGGAGGAAAGGGGUGUUGCUAAUAUCAAUGCCCUGUGACCGUUACUCGCAGAAGAAGCACCGGCUAACUCCGUGCCAGCAGCCGCGGUAAU